UACAGAGGGUGCGAGCGUUAAUCGGAAUUACUGGGCGUAAAGGGCGCGUAGGUGGUUUGUUAAGUUUGAUGUGAAAUUCCCGGGCUUAACCUGGGCAGGACGUCGAAGACUGGCAAGCUGGAGUACUGUAGAGGGUAGUGGAAUUUCCGGUGUAGCGGUGAAAUGCGUAGAGAUCGGAAGGAACAUCGGUGGCGAAGGCGGCUACCUGGACAGCUACUGACACUGAGGCGCGAGAGCGUGGGGAGCAAACAGG
rnacentral:rRNA from 1 species